rnacentral:other from 1 species
UGUUCCCUGGAGUGUGCGUGAUUGAUGCACAGGCGCUGACCUCACAAGCAUAAGCAUGGGGGCCAAGUCGACUUUUCCGGUGUGCAAGCCCGCUUAAAGCGGGAAGCCUGAAGGAAAAUCCGUGGUUCCCACCUGGGUAUCCCAGGUUCUGCGCCUGCAAGUCACACGGCUCUCCGGGGCUCUC